GACGUAGGGCGCGAGCGUUGUCCGGAUUUAUUGGGCGUAAAGAGCUCGUAGGCGGCUUGUUGCGUCGGCUGUGAAAACCCGCAGCUCAACUGUGGGCUUGCAGCCGAUACGGGCAGGCUUGAGUUCGGUAGGGGAGACUGGAAUUCCUGGUGUAGCGGUGAAAUGCGCAGAUAUCAGGAGGAACACCGGUGGCGAAGGCGGGUCUCUGGACAGUUCCUGACAGCUGAGAACACGGAAGGCCAGGGGAGCAAACGGG
rnacentral:rRNA from 1 species